rnacentral:rRNA from 1 species
UACGGGGGGGGCAAGCGUUGUUCGGAAUUAUUGGGCGUAAAGGGUGCGUAGGCGGUUUGGUAAGUCUCUUGUGAAAUCUAUGGGCUCAACUCAUAGUCUGCAAGGGAAACUGCCGGGCUUGAGUGUGGGAGAGGUGAGUGGAAUUUCCGGUGUAGCGGUGAAAUGCGUAGAUAUCGGAAGGAACACCUGUGGCGAAAGCGGCUCACUGGACCACAACUGACGCUGAUGCACGAAAGCUAGGGGAGCAAACAGG